CGGAGAGGGAGAAUGUUUGGAGCUGAAACUUUCCAUGCUUAGGCUUAGCUCUAAAGCCUUACAACAACUGUGGUUUCUGGGAGCCUCUAAACAAGUCAUCCUCAAGCCUCUCAAGGUCUGUGUACCUAGCCCUCUGCUUUGUUCGGAGACUUGCAGAAUUUUGUUUACAUGAACUUUGUUGCUCAACCAUGUGAGCUUAGAGAUGCAGUCAGUCUUAUCUCAAAUCCUCUACUGAAACUCAAAAGCAAGGUUGAAAAUGUAAAGCUGAGGCACUUGCGUCAGCAGCAGUAAAGUCGCUGUGAGCUCUUCUCCCUGUUCCUAACAACUGCUCGCUCUUGAAAAGCAGCAAUAGCCAAAUAAGGUGCCGAAGCACAGGACUGAGAUUUAGACAUAAAUGAUAUCUACCAGAUCUGCCUUCAGUUUAGCUCCCACGCCUGACACUUCUUGUGGACUUCUGCCUUUUCUUUCUGCAACUCGAAGUGGAAUGCUUUCUCUGUGACUCUACGGGCAGUUUUAUUUAGAAAACAGCUAUCCUCGCUGGCACUGGUUGGACUCUGCAACAAUUGGUUCGUUAGAUAAAUAUAGCCCACUUUUCUGUUUAUAAACAAUACAACCCAAAAUCUUGUUUGCUCAAAUGUUCAUAAGUAGCAAAUUUAACAGGACCCAGACCUGCUCAAAGGAAACCGCUGUUUCGAAUCCUAAGGAAUGUUCAUGAACACUGCACUAUUCGCCCAACUCUAGACUGUUGCCUUUCUAUCUGAGCUGAGUUUACUCUUCAGCAAAGGCAACAUUUCUGAAAAAUCCUAGAAAGGAG